rnacentral:rRNA from 1 species
GACGAACGCUGGCGGCGUGCCUAAUACAUGCAAGUCGAACGCAGUUGCGAACGGGUGCGUAUCGCGUAGUCAACUGCCUCAUAGCGGGGGAUAAAUCUUGGAAACGAUAGCUAAUACCGCAUACUGUGGGAUGGACCUGCUUUGUAUUAGCUAGUUGGGUAGGUAAAGCCGCAACAAGGCGACGAUACAUAGCCGACCUGAGAGGGUGGUCGGCCACACUGGGACUGAGACACGGCCCAGACUCCUACGGGAGGCAGCAGUAGGGAAUCUUCGGCAAUGGACGGAAGUCUGACCGAGCAACGCCGCGUGAGUGAAGAUGUUUUUCGGAUCGUAAAGCUCUGUUGUUAGAGAAGCGGUAACUAACGAGAAAGGGCCGGCUAACUACGUGCCAGCAGCCGCGGUAAUAC